AACGAACGCUGGCGGCAGGCUUAACACAUGCAAGUCGAACGCCCCGCAAGGGGAGUGGCAGACGGGUGAGUAACGCGUGGGAAUCUACCGUACCCUACGGAACAACAGUUGGAAACGACUGCUAAUACCGUAUACGUCCUACGGGGGAAAGAUUUAUCGGGGUAUGAUGAGCCCGCGUUGGAUUAGCUAGUUGGUGGGGUAAAGGCCUACCAAGGCGACGAUCCAUAGCUGGUCUGAGAGGAUGAUCAGCCACAUUGGGACUGAGACACGACCCAAACUCCUACGGGAGGCAGCAGCGGGGAAUAUUGGACAAUGGGCGCAAGCCUGAUCCAGCCAUGCCGCGUGAGUGAUGAAGGUCUUAGGAUUGUAAAGCUCUUUCACCGAUGAAGAUAAUGACGGUAGUCGGAGAAGAAGCCCCGGCUAACUUCGUGCCAGCCGCCGCGGUAA
rnacentral:rRNA from 1 species